GGGCCCAUAGCGCAGUUGGUAGCGCGUCGCAAUGGCAUUGCGAAGGUCGUGGGUUCGAUCCCCACUGGGUCCACCA
rnacentral:tRNA from 1 species